UUCUUUUUAAAUAAUUGGAACUAUUUGUAACAAAAAGAUCCAGUCUAAUGUGUUUAUUUUACAAUAAAACGUAUUUCCGUCCAUUGACAUAAUAUCUGAUGUCUUCGUUGUGAACAGCUGUGCUUAUUUUAAAAAUUGCGGUUACUGUAAUAUUACACUGUGUGUCUGUGUCUUAGCUUUUACCAACCAUGAAGCAUAGGAAAUAUUUUUACGUGAAAAAUGGUUCGAACAAGAACAACGCAACCUAAGCAUAAAGUAUUUUGUCAAGUUACUACAAAUGCAAAGAAGCAUCAAUAUACGUAUUACGUAUACUGUGGUUCAAUGAAAAUCAUAGGAGAAAAAGAUAAACAUUUGAUAAAAGGCCAUACUUAUAGACCUGACCUAAGUAUUUUAGCCAUGAAUACUUUUAAGGAAACUCUGAAACAAUGCAGUAUUGAUGAAGUUACUAUGCUGAACACCAUUUACGUGGAUGAACCUAGACAAUUAUAAACGAGUGAACCCACACAUAUUAUGCAUCAAUGGCCUUUCUAUGAAAUUUCUCAUUGUCGAAUGUUUUAUGCGGUGGUCUAAGAGACGAUCAUUGCCAACUGUCCCAGGAACAGUAAGCGAGCUAGCUGAACAAUUCCAAUCAGGGCUCCUUGAAAGAUACCAAAGCUGUGGUGCAUUAAUAUAGGUUGUGUUGAAGAUACGUCAGGUAGGUAAUUGUUCGAUAGUUUUUGCUUCCAAAACCUUAAUACUCAAAACUCUAGAUAUAUAAUAAAAUAAUUAAUUUUUGAAUAAAUGUAUUUUAAAUAGUAUUCUUAUGACAUUUAUAUUAACACUUG